rnacentral:rRNA from 1 species
UGGGGAAUAUUGGACAAUGGGCGAAAGCCUGAUCCAGCCAUGCCGCGUGAGUGAUGAAGGCCUUAGGGUUGUAAAGCUCUUUCGCCAGGGAAGAUAAUGACGGUACCUGGAAAAGAAGCCUCGGCUAACUCCGUGCCAGCAGCCGCGGUAAGACGGAGGAGGCUAGCGUUGUUCGGAAUUACUGGGCGUAAAGCGUGCGCAGGUUGUGAGAUCAGUUGGAUGUGAAAGCCCGGGGCUUAACCUCGGAUGUGCAUCCAAUACAGUCUCGCUGGAGGUUGGAAGAGGAGAGUGGAAUUCCCAGUGUAGAGGUGAAAUUCGUAGAUAUUGGGAAGAACACCAGUGGCGAAGGCGGCUCUCUGGUCCAUACCUGACACUCAUGCACGAAAGCGUGGGGAGCAAAC